rnacentral:rRNA from 1 species
UCCUGGCUCAGAACGAACGCUGGCGGCGUGGAUUAGGCAUGCAAGUCGAACGAGAUCCGAAGCUAUAGCAAUAUAGUUUCGGUGAAAGUGGCGGAAGGGUGAGUAACACGCGGGUAAUCUGCCCUCAAGUUGGGGAUAGCUCUGCGAAAGCGGAAUUAAUACCGAAUGUGGUCUCCUCGCGCAUGCGAGGAUGUCUAAAGGCGGGGAUCGUAAGACCUGUCUCUUGAGGAUGAGCCCGCGGCCUAUCAGCUAGUUGGUGAGGUAACGGCCCACCAAGGCUAAGACGGGUAGCUGGUCUGAGAGGACGACCAGCCACACUGGAACUGAGACACGGUCCAGACACCUACGGGUGGCAGCAGUCGAGAAUUUUUCACAAUGGGCGCAAGCCUGAUGGAGCGACGCCGCGUGGGGGAUGAAGGGCUUCGGCUCGUAAACCCCUGUCAGUCGCGAACAAACCUCUUGGGUGAAUAGCUCAAGAGUUGAUGGUAGCGACAGAGGAAGGGACGGCUAACUCUGUGCCAGCAGCCGCGGUAAUACAGAGGUCCCGAGCGUUGUUCGGAUUUACUGGGCGUAAAGGGUGCGUAGGCGGUUGGGUAAGUCUGAUGUGAAAUCCCCGGGCCCAACCCGGGAACGGCAUUAGAAACUGCCCGGCUGGAGGGUUGGAGGGGGGACUGGAAUUCCCGGUGUAGCAGUGAAAUGCGUAGAUAUCGGGAGGAACGCCAGUGGCGAAGGCGGGUCCCUGGACAACACCUGACGCUGAGGCACGAAAGCUAGGGGAGCAAACAGGAUUAGAUACCCUGGUAGUCCUAGCCGUAAACGGUGCGUGUUUGCUGUGGGCGGAUUCGACCCCGUCCGUGGCGGAGCCAACGCGUUAAACACGCCGCCUGGGGAGUACGGUCGCAAGAUUAAAACUCAAAGAAAUUGACGGGGGCCUGCACAAGCGGUGGAGUAUGUGGCUCAAUUCGAUGCAACGCGAAGAACCUUACCUGGCCUUGACAUGCGCGUGGUAGGAGCGUGAAAGCGCAACGAUCCCGCAAGGGAAGCGCGCACAGGUGCUGCAUGGCUGUCGUCAGCUCGUGUCGUGAGAUGUUGGGUUAA